rnacentral:misc_RNA from 1 species
GCUUUCCUUUUUAUUUGUCUUGAACAAUGCCAGUUGGAACUCCUCCUUGUUGAUCAGGCCAUCAUCAAUCACGGCACUGCUAAUCUUCUUGAAGAGCUCAUAUAGUGCCUCUAUUUCACUUACACUGAACACAGUCUCCCUCGCUAGAAGUUCAGGAUCGUCAAGACCUCUCGAUUGCUUAUACAAGUCAAGAUCACAACACCUUACUAGGGAAGCAAAAAAUCCCCCUACGCACUGCAACAUGAUAUCGCUUGAUAAUCAAAACGCU